ensembl:lncRNA
GAUGACAAACAUUUAUUUCUCACAGUUCUGGGGGCUGGAAGUCCAUGAUCACGGCACCAGCAGUGUCUAGUGAAAGCUCUGUCUGGUUUGCAGCCAGCUGGCUACUUCCUCACAUAGGGGGCAGAGAGGAAGGCUCUCUGGUCUCUUCUUAUAAGGACACUAAUCCCAACAAGGGGACCCCACUCUCAUGACCUCAUCUAACCUAAUCACCUCCCAAAGGCCCCACCUCCAAAUACCAUCACUUUGGGGUUAGGGUUUCCCGUAUGAAUUUUCUGGGGACACAAACAUUCAGUCCACAGCAGGGAAGGCAGAAGAGAAAUCAGAGCUGGCAUUUACUUCUGUUUCCAAAGGGCUGCACAGAGGAAAGAAAACACUAUUACUUAAGAAAAAUCGCGACAUCUUUGAGAAGUCCUGCGCUGGCUUUCCUCUAUCCAGUGAUGAUGCUGUUUCUGGUAUGCAGCAGAGGAGUACUGUCAGUUAAAAAUUAAGCAACAAAACAAAACUCAGACCAUGUGAGGGUCACGCUAUUUAAGAAAGCAGUCAAGGGGCUGGCCCCGUGGCCGAGUGGGUAAGUUCACGUGCUCUGCUGCAGGCGGCCCAGUGUUUCAUUGGUUCGAAUCCUGGGCGCGGACAUGGCACUGCUCAUCAAACCACGCUGAGGCGGCGUCCCACAGGCCACAACUAGAAGGACCCACAACGAAGAAUAUACAACUAUGUACCCGGGGGCUUUAGGAAGAAAAAGGAAAAAAUAAAAUCUUUAAAAAAAAAAAAAAGAAAGAAAGCAGUCAAGCACUGGUUUGCUCGUGAUCUCUACAGGAUCCAAUCCAUUCAUAAAUGGUGACACAGGCUGUGCUCUGCUUGGACGUCUUGCCCUUCCACGUCAGCGCCACAUUCAACCUUUCCUUCUACUUCAGAUUCCUUGCUCAGCCAAACGUUUACAACACACCCGCGAACCUUCUCAUGGCCCCAUUCCCGCUGAUUUGGGGGGUGCUGGAGGCACCGUCUCUUAUUUUAGAAUGAGAGUCAGUGAAUAGACUUUGAUGGAGAGAAUUUUUCAUUAGAGCCGACUUUUCGGGUGCAUCUUCAUUCCUUCCUCACGUGCUCUGUGCCAAGCACUGCUGAAGGUUCUGAGGUACAGGGGUGCAAAGGAUGAACAAGGCCCUGCGCUCCGGGAGAUUAUUAUAGGAGAACAUUCCGAGUGUAUUAGGUGCUGCAUAGAGACCAGAACAGGCUGGCGGGAGACAGAAGGACUGCUCGAAGGUCCCCUGACCCAUCCGCCUCAGAAUGUUCCAUACUGCUCCCUUAGGACCGGGAGACACCCCUCAAAACCUCCCCACUUACAAAUCUCUGUUUCUCAGUCCUUACUCCCAGGCCCUUCAAACGUUCAGCAGAGUCAAGACAUUAAAACAAAACAAAAAAAACCCUCUUCCAGUCUUCAAGCUCCACUUUAUGACCUAAAAAGCAAAAUCUUUCUCAAGCAUAACAAGCUACUUCAGCUGAAGAAAACACCAAACUCUAAAAGGCGAGGAAUCCAGUGUAUGUUCUUUGUCACGUGAACACCGAAUACCGAGAAACCAUCCCGGGCCGAGGAGGCCAGUCCAAACCAGCUGCUUCAAAGAGGCUGUUCUUUAACUGAAGGCUUAACACAAUGACCCUAGAAACGCGGCCCAGGGAAAAUAGCCAGGGAGCUCGAACCGCUUUCCAAGGAGAAGCGCCAGAAUGGCCCUCACCACAGGAUUCGCAGCAUUCAAAUCCCAUUUGUAGAGACUGCCAAGUGUCAGUGGCCGCGAUGUCCUUUUUAAACAGCCAUUCUUCCAUGCCACUUAAAAAGAAGCUAAAGGUUCACUAAACUUUUAAAAAUUUGGAAUAGCCUGUACCUUUCCCGGAGAAACAAAUGAGGCUGACACAGCCAUGGUGGCAAUUACAUCAAACCCUGGAGCGGGCUCCUCUUGGCUGUUCCAUGUCUCACCCAAGAAGGAGACUCUCCGUCAGCCCCACCGACACAGAAGCCCCCCAGGUGACGGCGUCUUCAUCCUCCCAGGCCGCCCUCUGAGCAACUGCUCUUCAUUUUUGGUUCCAGGGAGAAAACGGCUCUUUCUGCUUGUCCUCCGCCUCCUUGAGCUGGUCUCUGCACUUUGGGUGUGAGGAAAUCUGGGCCUUUCUUCCUCCUGGUGUGUUUCAUUUCCAAUGAUUUUGCUAAACAGCGUGCAUGUUUCCCAUAUGUCGGUUGUGUGGCAAAAUACCCCGGCUCCCCUAAAAAGUUGGGUUGCUGAGUCAUGCUGAGUCACUGCCUCAGAGAGUCCUGGGGGAGGGCAUCAAAAGCAGCCAGGCAGACGCGGGGCCAUAGCCGGCCUUCCUGAGGGACGGAGGAGUCGCCAGCAGAGCUGGGAGAGUCAGGCCAGGGUUCCACAAGCGGCUGAAGCACCGAGCUCUUACAAAACAGCAACGUCAUG